CCCCGGCCUUUCGUUUCUGUCUGAGUCGAUAGCUUUCUCCUUUGAUUUGAACGACAUGUGAGUGGUGUAAGAUACGGUCCAGCAUCGCUGAGGUCAGGGCUGCAUCACCGGCGAACGUUUGAUCCCACUGCCCGAACGGCAGAUUGGAUGUCAGGAUCAUUGCGCUCUUUUCGUAACGUUUAGCGAUGACCUGGAAGAACAGUUUUGCUUCUUCCUGA
rnacentral:rRNA from 1 species